rnacentral:tRNA from 1 species
GCCGGAGUGGUGGAAUGGGUAGACGCAGCGGACUCAAAAUCCGCCGGGGCCAACGCCCCUUGCCGGUUCGAGCCCGGCCUCCGGCACCA